AGAUUCAAUGACGAAGUUGUUAAAUGCUGACUGUGGUUGUCGUAAUUUUGUUGAUUACGUAAAAGAUGUCUGUAAUUUUGAUUCUGGUGCUGUUAUAGAUAUUUGUGAUGAGAAUGGUAAUGUGGCGUUUUUAUCAACUAAAAGUAAUAACGAGUGUGUUGGUAAUAGUGUAUUACAUAGAUCUGUCUAUAUACCACUUCGAGUAGAAAAUGCACGUGAAGAUGACACAUCGGUUAAGACCCUGGUACCCGUUCUACAUGAAUGGCAAAGAAGAUAUCCAGCAUUAGAAAGUAGGUU